GUCAGCAGUCUUGGCAACCAAUGAAGGGGCCCAGAGCAGACUUUUCUUCUUUGCCUGAACUCUAUGAGGAUCCAGAGUCCUGGCACCAGCAGAGGCUUCUUGGGCCUGUCCGCUUUCUCAGAGAGUCCAGACGAAUUUGGUUCCAGAAAUGACGUCUGCUGAAGGAGAACAUGUUCUAGCAAUGAAAUUUUCAAAAGACUCCUGCCGCUGCUCUGUGACUGGGACCCCCAGGUUGUCUUUGGAAGUUUCUAAGGCCUCCUGAGUAGACGCUGGGACACGGAAGGGGUCGAGAGGCAAAGGAAUCCUAGCAUCACCUGUAAUUUUCGGGAAGUGGAGGGGAAGACAAAAGACAAGACAAAAAUUCAGUGAUGAACAAAGCCAACCAUUAAAAAGUAGAGUUCAAAACUUCAA